rnacentral:rRNA from 1 species
GCAUAUAAGUAAGCGGAGGAUAAGAAACUAAAUAGGAUUCCCUCAGUAAUGGCGAAUGAACAGGGAUAAGCUCAGCAUGGAAAUUGGGGCCCUCGGCCUUGAAUUGUAGUCUUGAGAUGUGUUACCAACGGAGGCGCAGAUGUAAGCCUCUUGGAAAAGAGCGUCAGGGAGGGUGAGAGUCCCGUAUGUCAUCUGCAGUUCUCUGUGCACGGUGCAUGUUCUAAGAGUCACGUUCCUCGGGAUUGGAGCGCAAAUUGGGUGGUAAAUUUCAUCUAAAGCUAAAUAUUGGUUCGAGACCGAUAGCAAACAAGUACCAUGAGGGAAAGGUGAAAAGGACUUUGAAAAGAGAGUUAAAAGUGCCUGAAAUUGCUGAAAGGGAAGCGAAUGGAACCAGUUGUUCUUGGUGAGUAUUGGUGUUGUCUAAAGUGAUGGCUUGCCACUUCAACGCAAGUGUGGUGGCAGGUUUUGAUCUGGAUGCGAUACUGCUUCUCGCCUUGCAUGUCAACGUCAGUUCAUAAUUGAGGAAAACUCUAAGGACAUGGUAAUUCGCUUCCGAGUGACUGAAUGUCCUCAGUUGAACUCAUUUUUGAACUGCUCUCUGUGUGUCUGGUAGCACUGCUUCAUGUGCUUGCCUGCGAUCUUCUGCUCUGCAUGAAGGUUGUUGGUGCCAGGAGCAUGUCCUUGACAUUAGAACGAUGACGAAAUGGUUUUAUUCGACCCGUCUUGAAACACNNNCCAAGGA